CAAACACAUCAAACGAAUGGAUAACAACUGUCAUAUUCCUGACUUGGUACAGGCAUUUUCUAAUGUAGAAAAUGGGGGAUUGAACCUGGUUUUAUAGCUAGCUAAACCUCUCACUUGUAUGACAGUCGCAUCAAAUUCCAUUACAUUGUCAACGAUGCAUGAACAAAACAAACAUACUCAAAGAGUAAAAAUGUCAAAAAUAGGGGUACAGCAGUCAAUAUUGUGUUAUCAUCUUAAUAU
rnacentral:lncRNA from 1 species